UACGGAGGGUGCAAGCGUUAUCCGGAUUCACUGGGUUUAAAGGGUGUGUAGGCGGGUAGUUAAGUCAGUGGUGAAAUCUCCGGGCUCAACCCGGAAACUGCCAUUGAUACUAUCUAUCUUGAAUAUUGUUGAGGUAGGCGGAAUAUAUCAUGUAGCGGUGAAAUGCUUAGAUAUGAUAUAGAACACCGAUGGCGAAGGCAGCCCCCCUGGGUUAACACUGACGCUCAGGCACGAAAGCGUGGGGAGCAAACAGG
rnacentral:rRNA from 1 species